rnacentral:rRNA from 1 species
GACGAACGCUGGCGGCGUGCUUAACACAUGCAAGUCGAACGCGCCUGUCCUCUGGGUUUCUGGGGGGUGGGUGAGUGGCGAACGGGUGAGUAACACGUGAGUAACCUGCCCCCUUCUUCGGGAUAACGGUCUGAAAGGGCUGCUAAUACCGGGUAUUCACUGGUCUCCGCAUGGGGUCUGGUGGAAAGGUUUUUUUCUGGUGGGGGAUGGGCUCGCGGCCUAUCAGCUUGUUGGUGGGGUGAUGGCCCACCAAGGCUUUGACGGGUAGCCGGCCUGAGAGGGUGACCGGUCACAUUGGGACUGAGAUACGGCUCAGACUCCUACGGGAGGCAGCAGUGGGGAAUAUUGCACAAUGGGCGCAAGCCUGAUGCAGCGACGCCGCGUGAGGGAUGGAGGCCUUCGGGUUGUGAACCUCUUUCGCCCGUGGUCAAGCCGCGACGUGGGUCGUGGUGAGGGCAGUGGGUAAAGAAGCGCCGGCUAACUACGUG